rnacentral:rRNA from 1 species
AUCCGCUGAUCCCACUGAUCCAUCCGCUCCGCUAAUCCCUCCGUCAUUUCCUCCCCUUCCGCUCCGCUAAUCCCUUCAUCACUUCCUCCCCUGCCAAAAAUCCCUGCCGUUGGCGUCCCAUGGAGGCAGGCACGCAGCCUGUACGCGCCGGUCAUCGCCACCGCUCCUCUGCUCCGCCGGCCGUCCACGCCCAAACCAUGCCUCCUGCCCUCCACAUCUCCCCACACGGCACCGCCUCCGCCGGCCCUCCACGGGCCUCUUCGGCGCCCAACCACCCGCGGGCCUCUUCGGCGCCCCUCACCCGCCGGCCACCGCCCUCCCAGUGGUCCCUCUCACCGCCCCCUUCUCGGUGCCCACCAGCCGUCCUCCCGGCGCUCCCCACUCCACCACACGAAGACAAAGUCGAGACGGCACCAGGUGCCAGCAUCGCCGGCUCGCCGCACUUCGCUGGCCAACAAUCGCCACGGGCGCUCCCUGAUCCCUUCGCGCGGCAACAGCAACGGGUGCCCCAGUCCCCUCCAUGCGUCCGUGCACUCCGCCUGGGAGUUGCUCUAUUCCCAGGAGAGUCAAGACUUCUAUCUCAUAAGAUAUUCAAUGGAUAUUUUGUGAAACUAUUCUACCUCGGUGUUUGUCCAGAAGAAACAAACUCAUGUUCAGGAAGAGCUAUUUUGUGCACAUGAGUUGCUAUUGGCAGUGGAAAGAUUGUCUAUGUAGAGAGCUUAGAGAAAAAAGUGAGUGGUUCAAUUUUAUGUGAUGGGAAUGUUCACAAGGCAUCUUAAUUUUUGGAGAGAUAUAAACCCAUAAAGAAUUCAGAAUUGUGCUUGUUCACAGCUUUCUUUCAGUGAUUAGUAGUUGAUUUGCUUUGCAAAACAAUUAUAUUAUAGGUUAACUUGUCUAUAUAUUGCUUCACAUUUGUGUGUUUUAAGGUGAAUUCCGUACAGAUUGUGGUAGCUAGAGCAGGUGAAUGUCCGUGGCUGCUAGCUACAAGCAUCAAGUAAUCGUACCAAGAUUGCUUGGGUGUCGUGGUCCGAUAAGCAUCAAACAUUUGUAUGCCGAUUGGUAACAGGCUGAUUUAGAGUGGAUAAUCUACCGGUUUUGGGACUGACUUCAACAAGUAAAAAUUUAUGGGUAGUCAAGGUCAUGAUUCUGAACGAAGAGAGUGGAUCUUGAAUAGUAAAGAUGGUACUGCCCCAUAUAACUACAGUGCAAUUAUACUGGAGCAUGCAGAUUUAAAAGAUAUCAAGAAUGAAGAAUGAUGUUCUGGAUCUGUGCAAUGAUGACAUUAACAGGGGAAUUGCAUAAAUGGGUGUCGAUGUGGGGCGUAGGAGGCACAGAGAUGAUGCUGAUCGCCAGCGAUUAGCAGUCGAGGAGCGGUACCCCGGCCUGCGCCUGAGCUACAAUAGCAUGUUACCAUUGAUAACAUGAGCUAUUGCUAAUGGUCUGCUGACUAAUGUACUGACAACUUGAAAUCAUCUUUUCUUUAAACUUAGUGGUAAUUUAUCAAGGAAAGAUAUAUAUUUGUUGGUCAGUUGCUCAGUUCCAGGGAUGGAAUCUGGCUUGCUUGCUGCUUUGCCAUAAGCCGCUUUUGUUUGCGACUGAAUUUAGCUCAUAAUAGCUCAAAAUGAAAGAAAAAAGUCGUUUUAUAUUGUGA